rnacentral:sRNA from 1 species
AUGUCCGGUGUUAAUAAUACAUCCGCAAAUGAUUUAUCCACUACCGAGUCUAACUCUAACUCAGCAGUAGGCGCUCCUUCUGUUAAGACUGAGCACGGUGACUCCAAAGACUCCCUCAACCUUGAUGCUACUGAAGCACCUAUUGACUUACCUCAAAAACCCCUCUCUGCAUAUACCACCGUCGCAAUCCUAUGUUUGAUGAUUGCAUUUGGCGGUUUCAUCUUUGGUUGGGAUACCGGUACCAUUUCUGGUUUUGUUAACCUUUCUGACUUUAUCAGAAGGUUUGGUCAAAAAAAAACGACAAGGGGACUUACUACUUAUCGAAAGUAA